UGUUAGGGCCUGACUUUUUGUCAUCGGGCGUGGCACGGCUGUGGCAAGGAUUUGGGCGUGAUGGCCUUGUCAUUGGCCCAUGUGCGGGCAAAACGAUCAUGCGGAAGACGGACAAGACAUUGUCAUUGAGGGCUGUUGUAGGCAAGUAUGGGCCAGGACCUUGGGACAGGCAAGGUGCGCUUGGCAAAGACUUGACAAAGCUGUGUGGGCAAUGUUAGGGCGGCAUGGCACGGCAUGCGCGCCAAAGUCAGGGGCAUGGCACUUUGGGUUGUGGCAGCUAAGUUCGGGCUAAGCUAAGACAAGACGGAAAUGCGAGAUGAUGGAAAUGGCUUUCAAUAGCUAAGGCAAAGCUAUGUGAAGGAAAAUACAAGCAAUGGCACGAGGGAAAUGAAGGUUGACAUGAGCAAGGCAGAUUUGGGCCAAGACAGUGUGCGGGCGGCAGCGGCGUCGGGCAUGUGCGGCAAAAUCACAGGCAGCGGAUGUGGGCAAGGCAUUGGCGCGGCAGCAAUGUCAAGAUGUGCCAAGGCUGGGCGCAAUGCCAGCCUUGGGCACGAAUCAGCUGGCCAAGUGAAGAAUGGCACAUGCAAUGCACAUGGAAAGUAGUUGGCGGUUACCUUGUCAUAACCUCUUUGUCCCAUGAUCUGAUCAUGCUUGUAUAAUGUUCCCAUUUCGUGUAUAAUGUGUCCUAAGUAGUUGGGGAUGUCAACUACAUGUUAGGAGCAGAAUUAGUCUUAGUCCGACAAGUGGCAAAAGCUGUAGACAACAAGUGUUACGUGCUGCCAAGUCUAAGGGCUGCCUAUAUUCUAUAAAUAGGACCUUUGUGACUUAGGCAGAAGUAA
rnacentral:lncRNA from 1 species